CUAAGCGUACACGGUGGAUGCCCUGGCAGUCAGAGGCGAUGAAGGGCGUGCUAAUCUGCGAUAAGCGCCGGUAAGGUGAUAUGAACCGUUAUAACCGGCGAUACCCGAAUGGGGAAACCCAGUGUGAUUCGUCACACUAUCAUUAACUGAAUCCAUAGGUUAAUGAGGCGAACCGGGGGAACUGAAACAUCUAAGUACCCCGAGGAAAAGAAAUCAACCGAGAUUCCCCCAGUAGCGGCGAGCGAACGGGGAGGA
rnacentral:rRNA from 15 species